GGCUUAGGAUGAACGCUAGCGGCAGGCUUAACACAUGCAAGUCGAGGGGCAACGCGAGUAGCAAUACUUGGCGGCGACCGGCGCAAGGGUGCGUAACGCGUGAGCAACAUGCCCGUAUCAGGGGGAUAAUCCAGGGAAACUUGGUCUAAUACCCCAUAGUAAUUUUGUAAGGCAUCUUAUAAGAUUUAAAGCUUUGGUGGAUACGGAUUGGCUCGCGUGACAUUAGCUGGAUGGUAAGGUAACGGCUUACCAUGGCUAUGAUGUCUAGGGGUUCUGAGAGGAAGGUCCCCCCACACUGGAACUGAGACACGGUCCAGACUCCUACGGGAGGCAGCAGUGAGGAAUAUUGGACAAUGGAUGGAAAUCUGAUCCAGCCAUGCCGCGUGAAGGAAGAAAGGUCCUAUGGAUUGUAAACUUCUUUUGUAUGGGAGCAAUAAGGCCUACGAGUAGGUUGAUGAGAGUACCAUACGAAUAAGCACCGGCUAACUCCGUGCCAGCAGCUGC
rnacentral:rRNA from 1 species